CAAUACGAGAGUGGCAGACGGGUGAGUAACACGUGGGAACCUUCCCUUUGGUUCGGAAUAGCUCAGGGAAACUUGAGGUAAUACCGGAUAAGCCCUUACGGGGAAAGAUUUAUCGCCAUAGGAUGGGCCCGCGUCGGAUUAGCUAGUUGGUGAGGUAACGGCUCACCAAGGCGACGAUCCGUAGCUGGUCUGAGAGGAUGAUCAGCCACACUGGGACUGAGACACGGCCCAG
rnacentral:rRNA from 1 species